rnacentral:rRNA from 1 species
GACGAACGCUGGCGGCGUGCUUAACACAUGCAAGUCGAACGGAAAGGCCCUGCUUUUGUGGGGUGCUCGAGUGGCGAACGGGGGCGUAACACGUGAGUAACCUGCUCUUGACUUUGGGAUAACUUCAGGAAACUGGGGCUAAUACCGGAUAGGAGCUCCUGCUGCAUGGAGGGGGUUGGAAAGUUUCGGCGGGUGGGGAUGGACUCGCGGCUUAUCAGCUUGUUGGUGGGGUAGUGGCUUACCCAGGCUUUGAAGGGUAGCCGGCCUGAGAGGGUGACCGGCCACAUUGGGACUGAGAUACGGCCCAGACUCCUACGGGAGGCAGCAGUGGGGAAUAUUGCACAAUGGGCGGAAGCCUGAUGCAGCAACGCCGCGGGCGGGAUGACGGCCUUCGGGUUGUAAACCGCUUUCGCCUGUGACGAAGCUUGAGUGACGGUAAUGGGUAAAGAAGCACCGGCUAACUACGUG